rnacentral:lncRNA from 1 species
GCAAUGGAUGUGGAGGGCACUCAGGCCAGAAUACUGAAGUGUUUCAGACUCAGUGAGUGUGUCUGGGAUGUGCAGAAAACAUCCUUCCAUUUUGCCUAGAGAAAAAAGGGAAUCCAGGACCUGGUGCUCCCAAUGGCCUGGAGCAUGAGGGUCUCAGGUAUAGCAUCCACACAGGAAGUGCGUGUAUCUUAAGUAGACAGCUCGUUGAAGUUUUACAUAUGUAUACACCUUGUAACAACCAUCAAGAUUAGGAAGCAGAACAUUUCCAUGAUGCCAGAAGGUUCCCUGAGUCCCUUCUUGAGAGAAAUAGCGAGGAGGAAGCACAGCACAGGGAGCUGGAGAGGGAGAAGUAGGCUCCACGCUGAGCAGGAUGCUGGGAUCACGACUGAGUCGGGCUCAUAACCUGAACCGAAGACAGACACUUAAUGACUGAGCCACACAGGUGCCCCUGUCUAUAAUCUUGUUGAGGGACAUUGGGGUUUUUUAAAAGUUUUGCUAUUAAGAAUAAAAGUGCUAUGGAAU